UACAUGUGGGGCAAGCGUUUGUUCGGAAUUACUGGGCAUAAAGGGUGCGUAGGUGGUUUUGUUAAGUCACGGGUGAAAGUUUUCGGCCCAACCCGGAAAAUUGCCCGUGAUACUGGCGAACUUGAGUGCGUGAGGGGUAACCGGAACGAGCAGUGUAGCGGUUGAAAUGCGUAGAUAUUGCUCGGAAGGCCAGAGGCGAAGCGGGUUACUGGUGCGCAACUGACACUGAGGCACGAAAGCGUGGGGGAGCAAACAGG
rnacentral:rRNA from 1 species